rnacentral:tRNA from 2 species
GGAGGUAGAUGAGUCCCGGUGGGCUCCGCGCUCUUCAAAAGCGUUGGACGUUAUAGCAACGUUGGCAGGUUCAACUCCUGCCUCUUCCGAUAA